GGCGCUUUGGCCGAGUGGUUAAGGCAUGUGCCGCGGGAGUUCGAAUCUCACAGGCGACG
rnacentral:tRNA from 1 species